CACGAGUGCCCCAAGCGUUAUCCGGAAUUAUUGGGCGUAAAGGGUGUGUAGGUGGCGUUGUUAGUCUUCUGUCAAAUUCUUCGGCUUAACCGGGGGCAGGCGGAGGAAACGGCAAUGCUCGAGGGUGCGAGGGGUGAAUGGAACUCAUGGAGUAGGGGUGAAAUCCGUUGAUAUCAUGGGGAACACCAAAAGCGAAGGCAAUUCACUGGCGCACUUCUGACACUGAAACACGAAAGCGUGGGUAGCGAACGGG
rnacentral:rRNA from 1 species